GAUGAAGAACGUAGCGAAAUGCGAUAAGUAAUGUGAAUUGCAGAAUUCAGUGAAUCAUCGAAUCUUUGAACGCACAUUGCGCCCGCCAGUAUUCUGGCGGGCAUGCCUGUUCGAGCGUCAUUUCAACCAUCAAGCCCCGGGCUUGUGUUGGGGACCUGCGGCUGCCGCAGGCCCUGAAAUGCAGUGGCGGGCUCGCUGUCACUCCGAGCGUAGUAAUACAUCUCGCUCUGGACGUGCUGCGGGCUCCGGCCGUUAAAAGCCUUAUUUACCCAAGGUUGACCUCGGAUCAGGUAGGAAGACCCGCUGAACUUAAGCAUAUCAAUAAGCGGAGGA
rnacentral:misc_RNA from 1 species